rnacentral:rRNA from 1 species
AGAGUUUGAUCCUGGCUCAGGAUGAACGCUAGCUACAGGCUUAACACAUGCAAGUCGAGGGGCAGCAUGGUCUUAGCUUGCUAAGGCCGAUGGCGACCGGCGCACGGGUGAGUAACACGUAUCCAACCUGCCGUCUACUCUUGGACAGCCUUCUGAAAGGAAGAUUAAUACAAGAUGGCAUCAUGAGUCCGCAUGUUCACAUGAUUAAAGGUAUUCCGGUAGACGAUGGGGAUGCGUUCCAUUAGAUAGUAGGCGGGGUAACGGCCCACCUAGUCUUCGAUGGAUAGGGGUUCUGAGAGGAAGGUCCCCCACAUUGGAACUGAGACACGGUCCAAACUCCUACGGGAGGCAGCAGUGAGGAAUAUUGGUCAAUGGGCGCAGGCCUGAACCAGCCAAGUAGCGUGAAGGAUGACUGCCCUAUGGGUUGUAAACUUCUUUUAUAAAGGAAUAAAGUCGGGUAUGCAUACCCGUUUGCAUGUACUUUAUGAAUAAGGAUCGGCUAACUCCGUGCCAGCAGCCGCGGUAAUACGGAGGAUCCGAGCGUUAUCCGGAUUUAUUGGGUUUAAAGGGAGCGUAGAUGGAUGUUUAAGUCAGUUGUGAAAGUUUGCGGCUCAACCGUAAAAUUGCAGUUGAUACUGGAUAUCUUGAGUGCAGUUGAGGCAGGCGGAAUUCGUGGUGUAGCGGUGAAAUGCUUAGAUAUCACGAAGAACUCCGAUUGCGAAGGCAGCCUGCUAAGCUGCAACUGACAUUGAGGCUCGAAAGUGUGGGUAUCAAACAGGAUUAGAUACCCUGGUAGUCCACACGGUAAACGAUGAAUACUCGCUGUUUGCGAUAUACGGCAAGCGGCCAAGCGAAAGCGUUAAGUAUUCCACCUGGGGAGUACGCCGGCAACGGUGAAACUCAAAGGAAUUGACGGGGGCCCGCACAAGCGGAGGAACAUGUGGUUUAAUUCGAUGAUACGCGAGGAACCUUACCCGGGCUUAAAUUGCAGAUGAAUUACGGUGAAAGCCGUAAGCCGCAAGGCAUCUGUGAAGGUGCUGCAUGGUUGUCGUCAGCUCGUGCCGUGAGGUGUCGGCUUAAGUGCCAUAACGAGCGCAACCCUUGUUGUCAGUUACUAACAGGUUCCGCUGAGGACUCUGACAAGACUGCCAUCGUAAGAUGUGAGGAAGGUGGGGAUGACGUCAAAUCAGCACGGCCCUUACGUCCGGGGCUACACACGUGUUACAAUGGGGGGUACAGAGGGCCGCUACCACGCGAGUGGAUGCCAAUCCCAAAAACCUCUCUCAGUUCGGACUGGAGUCUGCAACCCGACUCCACGAAGCUGGAUUCGCUAGUAAUCGCGCAUCAGCCACGGCGCGGUGAAUACGUUCCCGGGCCUUGCACACACCGCCCGUCA